rnacentral:ncRNA from 1 species
CGCUGUACGGCGCGGUAACAACACGCUCGUAACACGGAGGAUGUCUCAUACGGUAAAGCGAAUGAUUAGAGGACAUUGGGGCCGAAACGACCUCAACCUAUUCUCAAACUAUAAAUGAGUGAGAUCGCCGGCUUUACCUGGUACACCGCGUGAACCGCGUGCGAAGCCGGCGACGGAACCCUAGGCGCUUAGUGGGCCAUUUUUGGUAAGCAGAACUGGCGCUGCGGGAUGAACCGAACGCCGAGUUAAGGCGCCGAAAUCGACGCGUAUUCAGAGACCAUGAAAGGCGUUGGUUGCUGAUGACAGCAGGACGGUGGCCAUGGAAGUCGGAAUCCGCUAAGGAGUGUGUAACAACUCACCUGCCGAAGCAACUAGCUCUGAAAAUGGAUGGCGCUGGAGCGUCGUGCCUAUACUCGGCCGUCGACGGCAUAGUGGGGCCAGUCGUCGCUCGCGGCGGCCGGUCCCGGCAAGCCUCGACGAGUAGGAUGGCGCGGCGGUGUGCGUCGAAGGGCAGGUCGCGAGACCGCCUGGAGCCGCCGUCGGUGCAGAUCUUGGUGGUAGUAGCAAAUACUCGAGAGGGGCCCUCGGGGGCUGCCGUGGAGAAGGGUUUCUUGUGAACAGCCGUUGUCCAAGAGUCAGUCGAUCCUAAGCCCGGGGAGAGAUCCUCGUACCACGGGCGAAAGGCGUUUUCGAAUCGCCCUUGGGGCGAGAGGGAAUCCGGUUCGUAUUCCGGAACCCGACGCGGAACCGCUCCCUAGUGUUCGGGGCUCUUUUGUCUCGUCUGGGUAACCAGAAUGAACUCGAGAGCCGCCGGGGAUCUGGGUAGAGUUCUCUUUUUCUCUGUGAGCGUUGUACGUCCCUGGAAUC